GCAUUGAUAGUGUAGGGGUAUCAUGAGUCGUUGCCAGUCUCAUACAUCUGUGUUCAGGUGUGUUUAAUUCCACUUGAUUCGACUCGACCGGGGUUCGAGUCCCCGUCAAUGCA